UGCUGUAAAAUAUUCCCCAUAAAAACAACAGUCACACUGAAAGCCAUGUAGCAAGUGGAAAUCUAUCUCUGUUGAGGGCAAAUACUACUACAGGUCUGAACAGUAAGACCUAAAUAAAUAUCUUACAUUUACAGGAUAGGAUUUUUAAUACAGAUGAAGUUAGCAAGAAUCUAAGCAGCCAUCCUGUUCCAAAACAAACAUGUUUAAAGCUACUGGAUUAGCCAGGACUCCCUCAUCUCAGGGUCUACAGGGAUGACACCU
rnacentral:lncRNA from 1 species